UACGGAGGGUGCAAGCGUUAUCCGGAUUCAUUGGGUUUAAAGGGUGCGCAGGCGGAAUGAUAAGUCAGUGGUGAAAGCCUACGGCUCAACCGUAGAACUGCCAUUGAUACUGUCGUUCUUGAGUACAGUUGAAGUGGGCGGAAUGUGUCAUGUAGCGGUGAAAUGCUUAGAUAUGACACAGAACACCGAUCGCGAAGGCAGCUCACUAAGCUGAAACUGACGCUCAGGCACGAAAGCGUGGGGAGCAAACAGG
rnacentral:rRNA from 1 species